rnacentral:tRNA from 3 species
GGAGGGAUACCGAAGCGGCCAUAACGGGGCGGUCUCGAAAACCGCUGUCCUCGCAAGAGGCACGUGGGUUCGAAUCCCACUCCCUCCGCCA